UAGGGAAUCUUCGGCAAUGGACGAAAGUCUGACCGAGCAACGCCGCGUGAGUGAAGAAGGUUUUCGGAUCGUAAAACUCUGUUGGUAGAGAGGAACGUUGGCGAGAGUGGAAAGCUCAUCAAGUGACGGUAACUACCCAGAAAGGGACGGCUAACUACGUGCCAG
rnacentral:rRNA from 1 species